GCCAGUUAACCUACAAACCUCAACAUCUUCGGGAUGUGGAGAAAACCUGAGCACUUGGAGGAAACUCAUGCGGUCACAGGGAGAAUGUGCAAACUCCACAAAGACAGCU